AGCUGGUUCUUUAGCACGCAUGACGCACAAUAUAGAGUCACGUUUUCCGCGGAUACAGGAGCAGGUGCAGGCCUGUCUAUGACCAUGGACCCCAUUACAGAAGGCGUGCGUACUUCUACAAAGUACCAAUUCCAGUAUUGGAACGAAACGGAGAAAUGCUUUGUUCUGACUUCAAAUGGAAAUGCAAAUGAGAAGCGGUGUGAACUGAAUGCGUGGAACAGCACGGCCAGCCAAGAAGCACAGUUUCCGGGUUGCCAGCAGGCUUACGAGGAACACUGCCCGACACCGAAGCCACCUUAUAAAGUUUUCACUCCGAAUUGCCGUGUUACAGCAAUGAAUUUUAACCCAGCGUCUAUGACAGAAAACGAUGUAUCGAGUUGCUGAUAUAAACAAACCUAAAGCAAGCCUAAUGCAGGCCCAAGCGUUUAAGAAACAUAAUAACGAACGAGUUUUUUUUUUCUAACAUGUGGUGGAGUUACGGUCUAGUUUUUUAGAAG